CAAUCUCUUCGAUGCCACUUUUGUCAAGCGGUAGAUCUCGGCGUUGAGGCGAUCGACCAUAGCAGAUCCACCCGUCUCUUCUCCUCCUUCGCCCCCAAUGCACGGUAUUUACUACGAUUCUAUACGCCUUCGUCACCCUCUCCUCUUGCCCUCCCCGCCUCCCUAUACGCCUUCGUAACCCUCUCCGUCGUUUCCUCUGGCAUACGAGAGCUCCAUGAGGCUAUCGACGGUGCCCGUUGUUCCCGAUUUCAUGGCUACCACACUAUCCUCUUUGUCAAAGAGAUCCACCAGUUCUCUAAGUCCCAGCAAGACUCCUUCCUCCUCGCCAUCGAAGAUGGUUCCAUCAUUCUCAUUGGUGCCACCACCAAGAACCCCUUUUUCCAGCUCACUACCCCACUCCUUUCCCGCUGCAGCAUCCUCGCCCUCCAGCCCCUCAAACCGCAACACAUCAAGGGUUUGCUCCACAGAGCCAUCUCGGUUUCGAUAAGGGCUUACAGUUCACAACUCAAUGUCCAGUGUCGGCUGCGUAAGAGGGCAUCGACUUUCUAUCUCUGCAUUGCGAUGGUGAUGCUGUUGCACUGAAUCAGGGUGCAUCAUGCUACCAGGGCAUGCCAUUUUAUUGGAAUGUCUGAAUGUGACGUCUGUUUGGCGUAGUGUGUCUCUUACUUACUCUAGCACCAAAAUCAGUUGUUGUCUAUCUAGCAUAUACAAGGAAGCCAAGAGGGUGAUAAGAGAGUCAAAGGGGCCAAUGAGGAUUGAUGGGGUGCCAUUGCAUUUAAGGAAUGCACCAAUGAAGCUGAUGAAGGAUAUGGAAUAUGACAAAGAUUACAUGUAUCCUCCUGAUCACAAGGAUUGCUUGGAUUGCUCAUCACAGACAUAUUUGCCCCUGUCACUUCUUGGGCACAAGUUUCUUGAUUGGCUUCCAAAUGACGAAAAGCAAGAGUGAAGCAGUAUCUCAAAAGACUAUCCUUAUUUGGGAACCGUUUAUUCUUCAUUUAUGCGGUUCCACUUCGUGUCGUCAUUGUAUGGACAUAUGCAUCCUUUCUAACAGCGGGAGGAGCUUACAACUACAAGGGUUGCAAAUCAACUGUACCAUUAACUUUUUAUUUUUUUUAUCAUAUAGUUGGGUCAUGAUGAACAAGUAUUUCAAAAAGACCAAGUUUUAAACAAUUGAUAGGUAUAUAUUGUGAUUAUGUAUUUAAGCAUCAAUUGAUAAUUCUUAUUAUUUAGGAAACAAUCUUACAUGCCAUUAGCAAGGUAUUUACUUUCCCUACAUUUACCUUUAUGUUUAGUUGGUAGUUGUAUUCUAGUUUACUAUGUUCUGAUGCAUCAAUUUCUUGACAUUUUUGGAAUAAAGUUUUGACUUCUUGGAUAAUAGAAGUUGAGAUUGUGGAAAUUUCACAUGUAGUUUGUUUAUUUAUGUUGUCUUUCAUUAGAUGUUGAGACUAUGAAAAUUUUACAUGUAGUGUCUUUUUAGAUAUUUUGAAGGUGGAUAGAGGUAUUCAGAAACGAGCUCGGGUAUGGAUGAUUACAGGAGCAGCAACUACAUGCUAUGUGGCACUGCAUCCGAACCUCAGGGGUGUGAUUGGGAAGUACUUCGACGAAGAACUAUCAAGAAGGCUUUGGGAUUUAAGCGAGAAGAUGGUUAAAAUCAAUGAGUAAAGAACAUUCAAGUCAAGAGAAUAAAUAGCAUCCAUCAAGAUCCUUUAAGUUCAUGCAAUAAGAUGUAAUCGAUAGGAGUAGUUUUGAGUGUCUCUUAAUAAUUUUUUUUAUACGAGUAAUUAUAUUUGUUAUAGAAGUGUAAGGAUGAUAAUUUGUAUAUUUAUCUUGGUUGUUUACUUAAUACUAUGUUGUUGA